GACGAACGCUGGCGGCGUGCUUAACACAUGCAAGUCGAACGGAAAGGCCCUGCUUUUGUGGGGUGCUCGAGUGGCGAACGGGUGAGUAACACGUGAGUAACCUGCCCUUGACUUUGGGAUAACUUCAGGAAACUGGGGCUAAUACCGGAUAGGAGCUCCUGCUGCAUGGUGGGGGUUGGAAAGUUUCGGCGGUUGGGGAUGGACUCGCGGCUUAUCCGCUUGUUGGUGGGGUAGUGGCUUACCAAGGCUUUGACGGGUAGCCGGCCUGAGAGGGUGACCGGCCACAUUGGGACUGAGAGACGGCCCAGAAUGCUACGGGAGGCAGCAGGGGGGAAUAUUGCACAAUGGGCGGAAGCCUGAUGCAGCAACGCCGCGUGCGGGAUGACGGCCUUCGGGUUGUAAACCGCUUUCGCCUGUGACGAAGCGUGAGUGACGGUAAUGGGUAAAGAAGCACCGGCUAACUACGUG
rnacentral:rRNA from 1 species